rnacentral:rRNA from 1 species
GACGAACGCUGGCGGCGUGCCUAACACAUGCAAGUCGAGCGGGGUUGAAGCGAGGGGUAACUCGAACUUCUACCUAGCGGCGGACGGGUGAGUAACGCGUGGGCAACCUGCCUCAAGGUCUGGGAUAACAGCUCGAAAGGGCUGCUAAUACCGGAUAUGCCUAUAGCCUCGCAUGGGGCUAUGAGCAAAGGGGAAACCCGCCUUGAGAUGGGCCCGCGUCCCAUCAGCUAGUUGGUGAGGUGAAGGCUCACCAAGGCGACGACGGGUAGCCGGCCUGAGAGGGUGACCGGCCACACUGGGACUGAGACACGGCCCAGACUCCUACGGGGGGCAGCAGUGGGGAAUCUUGCACAAUGGGCGAAAGCCUGAUGCAGCGACGCCGCGUGAGCGAAGAAGGCCUCGGUUGUAAGCUCUGUCUGGAGGACGAAGAAAGUGACGGUACCUCCGGAGGAAGGCACGGCUAACUACGUGCCAGCAGCCGCGGUAAAGCACGUCG